UACGUAGGGUGCAAGCGUUGUCCGGAAUUAUUGGGCGUAAAGAGCUCGUAGGCGGUUUGUCGCGUCGAAUGUGAAAACCCGGGGCUCAACUCCGGGCCUGCAUUCGAUACGGGCAGACUAGAGUUCGGUAGGGGAGUCUGGAAUUCCUGGUGUAGCGGUGAAAUGCGCAGAUAUCAGGAGGAACACCGGUGGCGAAGGCGGUUCUCUGGGCCUGACCUGACGCUGAGGAGCGAAAGCGUGGGGAGCGAACAGG
rnacentral:rRNA from 1 species